AAACGCUGCGGCAGGCUACCCCUGCUGUCGAACGUCAAGCACCUUCGGGUGGUGGAAAGUGGCAGACGGGUGAGUACCGUGUGGAACGUGCCUUUCGGUUCGGAAUAACCCAGGGAAACUUGUGGCUAAUACCUGAUACGCCCUUCGGGGGAAAGAUCAUCGCCGAAAGAUCGGCCCGCGUCGGAUUAGCUAGUUGGUAGGGUAAUGGCCUACCAAGGCGACGAUCCGUAGCUGGUCUGAGAGGAUGACCAGCCACACUGGGACUGAGACACGGCCCAGACUCCUACGGGAGGCAGCAGUGGGGAAUAUUGGACAAUGGGCGAAAGCCUGAUCCAGCCAUGCCGCGUGGGUGAAGAAGGCCUUAGGGUUGUAAACCCCUUUCAGCGGGGACGAUAAUGACGGUACCCGCAGAAGAAGUCCCGGCUAACUCCGUGCCAGCAGCCGCGGUAAUACGGAGGGGACUAGCGUUGUUCGGAAUUACUGGGCGUAAAGCGCACGUAGGCGGAUUUGUAAGUUAGGGGUGAAAUCCCGGGGCUCAACCUCGGAACUGCCUUUGAUACUGCAAAUCUCGAGUCCGGAAGAGGUGAGUGGAAUUCCUAGUGUAGAGGUGAAAUUCGUAGAUAUUAGGAAGA
rnacentral:rRNA from 1 species